AGUGAGCGCUGGCGGUAGGCCUAACACAUGCAAGUCGAACGGCAGCACAGUAAGAGCUUGCUCUUACGGUUGGCGAGUGGCGGACGGGUGAGGCAUACAUCGGAAUCUACUUUUUCGUGGGGGAUAACGUAGGGAAACUUACGCUAAUACCGCAUACGACCUACGGGUGAAAGCAGGGGAUCUUCGGACCUUGCGCGUUUGAAUGAGCCGAUGUCGGAUUAGCUAGUUUGCGGGGUAAAGGCUCACCAAGGCGACGCUCCGUAGCUGGUCUGAGAGGAUGUUCACCGAUAAUGGAACUGAUACACGGUCCGGACUCCUACGGGAGGCAGCAGUCGAGCAUAUUGGACGAUGGGCGCAAGCCUGAUCCAGCCAUACCGCGUGGGUCAAGAAGGCCUUCGGGUUGUAAAGCCGUUUUGUUGGGAAAGAAAAGCUGCAGGAUUAUACCCCGCUAUUCUGACGGUACCCAAAGAAUAAGCACCGGCUAACUUCGUG
rnacentral:rRNA from 1 species